GUAACAAGGUUUCCGUAGGUGAACCUGCGGAAGGAUCAUUACCGAGUGCUGGGCCCUCUGGGUCCAACCUCCCACCCGUGUCUAUUGUACCUUGUUGCUUCGGCGGGCCCGCCGUUUCGACGGCCGCCGGGGAGGCCUCGCGCCCCCGGGCCCGCGCCCGCCGAAGACCCCAACAUGAACGCUGUUCUGAAAGUAUGCAGUCUGAGUUUGAUUACCAUAAUCAGUUAAAACUUUCAACAACGGAUCUCUUGGUUCCGGCAUCGAUGAAGAACGCAGCGAAAUGCGAUAAGUAAUGUGAAUUGCAGAAUUCAGUGAAUCAUCGAGUCUUUGAACGCACAUUGCGCCCCCUGGUAUUCCGGGGGGCAUGCCUGUCCGAGCGUCAUUGCUGCCCUCAAGCACGGCUUGUGUGUUGGGCCCCCGUCCCCGGGGAAACUGGGGACGGGCCCGAAAGGCAGCGGCGGCACCGCGUCCGGUCCUCGAGCGUAUGGGGCUUUGUCACCCGCUCUGUAGGCCCGGCCGGCGCCAGCCGACACCCCCAACUUUAUUUUCUAAGGUUGACCUCGGAUCAGGUAGGGAUACCCGCUGAACCUAAGCAUAUCA
rnacentral:misc_RNA from 1 species